rnacentral:rRNA from 1 species
GGGUGGUAAUACUGAAUGUUCCACAUGAUCGCAUGUGAUUGUGGGAAAGCUUUUUUGCGGUAUGGGAUGGGGUCGCGUCCUAUCAGCUUGACGGUGGGGUGAUGGCCUACCGUGGCUUUGACGGGUAGCCGGCCUGAGAGGGCGACCGGCCACAUUGGGACUGAGAUACGGCCCAGACUCCUACGGGAGGCAGCAGUGGGGAAUAUUGCACAAUGGGCGCAAGCCUGAUGCAGCGACGCCGCGUGAGGGAUGGAGGCCUUCGGGUUGUAAACCUCUUUUACAAGGGAGCAAGGCUUUUUGUUGAGUGUACUUUGUGAAUAAGCACCGGCUAACUACGUGCCAGCAGCCGCGGUAAUACGUAGGGUGCAAGCGUUAUCCGGAUUUAUUGGGCGUAAAGAGCUCGUAGGCGGUUCGUCGCGUCUGGUGUGAAAGCCCAUCGCUUAACGGUGGGUUUGCGCCGGGUACGGGCGGGCUGGAGUGCGGUAGGGGAGACUGGAAUUCCCGGUGUAACGGUGGA